rnacentral:rRNA from 1 species
UACCAGCUCUCCGAGUGGUAGGGAUUAUUAUUGGGCUUAAAGCGUCCGUAGCCGGCCUAGCAAGUCUCCUGUUAAAUUCAGCGACCUAAUCGUUGAGCCGCGGGAGACACUACUAGGCUAGGAGGCGGGAGAGGCCGACGGUAUUCUCGGGGUAGGGGUGAAAUCCUAUAAUCCCGGGAGGACCACCAGUGGCGAAGGCUGUCGGCUAGAACGCGCUCGACGGUGAGGGACGAAAGCUGGGGGAGCGAACCGGAUUAGAUACCCGGGUAGUCCCAGCUGUAAACGAUGCGAGCUAGGUGUUGGGGUGGCUACGUGCCACUUCAGUGCCGCAGGGAAGCCAUUAAGCUCGCCGCCUGGGGAGUACGGCCGCAAGGCUGAAACUUAAAGGAAUUGGCGGGGAGCACCACAAGGCGUGAAGCUUGCGGUUC